AACGAACGCUGGCGGCAUGCCUAACACAUGCAAGUCGAACGAGACCUUCGGGUCUAGUGGCGCACGGGUGCGUAACGCGUGGGAACCUGCCCUUAGGUUCGGAAUAACUCCCCGAAAGGGGUGCUAAUACCGGAUAAUGUCUUCGGACCAAAGAUUUAUCGCCUUUGGAUGGGCCCGCGUUGGAUUAGCUAGUUGGUAGGGUAAAAGCCUACCAAGGCGACGAUCCAUAGCUGGUCUGAGAGGAUGAUCCGCCACACUGGGACUGAGACACGGCCCAGACUCCUACGGGAUGCAGCCGUGGGGAAUAUUGGACAAUGGGCGAAAGCCUGAUCCAGCAAUGCCGCGUGAGUGAUGAAGGCCUUAGGGUUGUAAAGCUCUUUUACCCGGGAUGAUAAUGACAGUACCGGGAGAAUAAGCUCCGGCUAACUCCGUG
rnacentral:rRNA from 1 species